CAGCAGCCACGGUAAUACGUAGGGUGCAAGCGUUAAUCGGAAUUACUGGGCGUAAAGCGUGCGCAGGCGGUUUGUUAAGACAGAUGUGAAAUCCCCGGGCUCAACCUGGGAACUGCAUUUGUGACUGGCAAGCUAGAGUGUGGCAGAGGGGGGUGGAAUUCCGCGUGCAGCAGUGAAAUGCGUAGAUAUGCGGAGGAACACCGAUGGCGAAGGCAGCCCCCUGGGCCAACACUGACGCUCAUGCACGAAAGCGUGGGGAGCAAACAGGAUUAGAUACCCCUGUAGUCCCUGUCUCUUAUAC
rnacentral:rRNA from 1 species